rnacentral:lncRNA from 11 species
UACAGAGGUAAUAAUAAUAAUAAUAAACCUACUUUGAUUGAAGUCAAAAAUCAGAAACUCCUCAAAGCACAGCAGACAAAAAACCAGUACAAGAAAUCCGCACUACAAACUAGAGCUGACAGCUGGCACAACAAAACAUUGCAUGGAAAGUUCCUUGACAAAAUUGACGGAAAAGCUGACAAGGAGAAGACCUGGCUAUGGCUCACAAAUGGGACCCUGAAGAAGGAGACAGAAGGCCUGAUCCUUGCAGCCCAGGAGCAACACAUCAGGACAAAGGCCAUUCAGGCCAAGAUCGAAAAAUCAGCUGAUGACCCAAAAUGCAGACUGUGCAAGGAAGCUGAUGAAACCAUGGAUCAUAUCCUCAGCUGCUGUAAGAAAAUCGCACAGACAGACUACAAACAGAGGCACAACUGUGUGGCCCAAAUGAUCCAUUGGAACUUAUGCCUCAAGUCUCACCUCCCAGCAGAAAAGAACUGGUGGGAUCACAAACCUGCAAAAGUCUUGGAAAAUGAGCACGCAAAGAUACUGUGGGACUUCCGAAUCCAGACUGACAAAGUUCUGGAACACAACACACCAGACAUCACAGUUGUGGAAAAGAAAAUGAUCUGCCAACUGCAAAAGGCCACCCUACUGGGAUCUGCACACAUCAUCCGAAAAUAUAUCACACAGUCCUAGACACUUGGGAAGUGUUCAACUUGUGAUUUUGUGAUACGAAAUCCAGCAUGUCUAUCUUGUUUGCUGUAUCAUACAAUAAAUAAAAUAAUAAUAAUAAUAAUAAUAAUAAUAAUAAUAAUAAUAAAUCACACAGUCCUAGACACUUGGGAAGUGUUCGACUUGUGAUUUUGUGAAACAAAAUCCAGCAUGUCUAUCUCGUUUGCUGUGUCAUAAUAAAAUAAUAAUAAUAAUAAUAAUACAUCACACAGUCCUAGACACUUGGGAAGUGUUCGACCUGUGAUUUUGUGAUACGAAAUCCAGUAUGUCUAUCUUGUUUGCUGGGUCAUAAUAAAAUAAUAAUAAUAAUACAAAAUACAUCACACAGUCCUAGACAUUUGGGAAGCAUUGGAUUUGUGAUUUUGUGAUACGGAAUCCAGCAUAUCUAUUUUGUUUGCUGUGUCAUAAAAUAAUAAUAAUAA